rnacentral:misc_RNA from 1 species
AAACUGCGAUACGUAGUGUGAAUUGCAGAAUUCAGUGAAUCAUCGAAUCUUUGAACGCAAAUUGCGCUGUCGGGAAUUCCUGACAGCAUACUUGGCUGAGUAUCAUCUGGAUAAAUCACAAAGAGAUUUUUUUUCUUUUUGUGGAUAUGAGGUGUCACAUUGUAUUUCAAGCAAUGCGUCCCUUUAAAUUAAGAAAGGUGAAGAGGAAUAUUAGUUGUCCUUGAUACCACUAGUGUGGCAUUUGUCCUAUGGGCAUUACAAAGCACUACGUCGGGACUUGGGCAUCACAAACUAAUAUGACUUUUCAAUAAUUGCCUUUUAUUAUUAACAAAUUCAUUUUUGAAAUUUUGAUCUCAGCUCAAGUAAGACUACCCGCUGAAUUUAA